UACGUAGGGUGCAAGCGUUAAUCGGAAUUACUGGGCGUAAAGCGUGCGCAGGCGGUUUUGUAAGUCAGAUGUGAAAUCCCCGGGCUCAACCUGGGAACUGCGUUUGAAACUACAAGGCUAGAGUGUAGCAGAGGGGGGUGGAAUUCCACGUGUAGCAGUGAAAUGCGUAGAGAUGUGGAGGAACACCGAUGGCGAAGGCAGCCCCCUGGGUUAACACUGACGCUCAGGCACGAAAGCGUGGGGAGCAAACAGG
rnacentral:rRNA from 1 species